AGUCGUACGCUUCUUUUUCCCCGGAGCUUGCUCCACCGGAAAAAGAAGAGUGGCGAACGGGUGAGUAACACGUGGGUAACCUGCCCAUCAGAAGGGGAUAACACUUGGAAACAGGUGCUAAUACCGUAUAACAAUCGAAACCGCAUGGUUUUGAUUUGAAAGGCGCUUUCGGGUGUCGCUGAUGGAUGGACCCGCGGUGCAUUAGCUAGUUGGUGAGGUAACGGCUCACCAAGGCCACGAUGCAUAGCCGACCUGAGAGGGUGAUCGGCCACAUUGGGACUGAGACACGGCCCAAACUCCUACGGGAGGCAGCAGUAGGGAAUCUUCGGCAAUGGACGAAAGUCUGACCGAGCAACGCCGCGUGAGUGAAGAAGGUUUUCGGAUCGUAAAACUCUGUUGUUAGAGAAGAACAAGGAUGAGAGUAACUGUUCAUCCCUUGACGGUAUCUAACCAGAAAGCCACGGCUAACUACGUGCCAGCAGCCGCGGUAAUACGUAGGUGGCAAGCGUUGUCCGGAUUUAUUGGGCGUAAAGCGAGCGCAGGCGGUUUCUUAAGUCUGAUGUGAAAGCCCCCGGCUCAACCGGGGAGGGUCAUUGGAAACUGGGAGACUUGAGUGCAGAAGAGGAGAGUGGAAUUCCAUGUGUAGCGGUGAAAUGCGUAGAUAUAUGGAGGAACACCAGUGGCGAAAGCGGCUCUCUGGUCUGUAACUGACGCUGAGGCUCGAAAGCGUGGGGAGCAACAGGAUAGAUACCCUGGUAGU
rnacentral:rRNA from 1 species